rnacentral:rRNA from 1 species
AUUGAACGCUGGCGGCAGGCCUAACACAUGCAAGUCGAACGAGUGGCGGACGGGAGAGUAAUGUCUGUGAAACUGCCCGAUGGGGGGGGAUAACUACUGGAAACGGUAGCUAAUACCGCAUAGCUUCGGAUGUGCCCAGAUGGGAUUGGCUAGUAGGUGGGGUAAUGGCUCACCUAGGCGACGAUCCCUCGCUGGUCUGAGAGGAUGACCAGCCACCCUGGAACGGAGACACGGUCCAGACUCCUACGGGAGGCAGCAGUGGGGAAUAUUGCAAAAUGGGCGCAAGCCUGAUGCAGCCAUGCCGCGUGGAUGAAGAAGGCCUUCGGGUUGUAAAGUACUUUCAGCGAGGAGGCGUUACUCGCAGAAGAAGCACCGGCUAACUCCGUGCCAGCAGCCGCGGUAAUAC